AGGUCAUGAUGGGGCAUUUUCUGAUGAGGUCCUUUAAUCUUCCCCAUGAUUCAUGGAACUGCUCACCAUCUUGCUGCGAGAAGCUAGUGAGAGCUCAUCUUAUCU
rnacentral:snoRNA from 1 species